rnacentral:rRNA from 1 species
ACCUAUUUAUAACAAAAGGUAAAAUUAAACUGUUAUUGUAUAGGAAUAAAAAAAUUAAAAUUGAAGCUAGAAAGUCUCAGUUAAAAACUAGGAUUAGAUACCCUACUAUUCUGAGGUUAAACACUAAAUACUAGAUUAGUAAUAGUUAAUUACUUUAAAGUUAAAAAAUUUGGCGGUGAUUUAAUCCCACUAGAGGAAUUUGUUUCUUAAUCGAUAAUCCACGCAAGAUCUUACUUAUUUUUGUUAAGUUAACAGUCUGUAUACCAUCAUUAUCAGGUAACUUGUGAAAAAGUUACUAAACAAGAAUUAAUUAAAAAAAUUAGAUCAAGGUGCAGCAUAUAAAUAAGUUGAAAUGAGUUACAAUAAAUUACUUUAUAACGAAAGUGUAAUGGAAGCAAUAUACUGAAGGAGGAUUCAGUUGUAUUAUAAAUUUAAUAGGUUUUAAAGAUAUUGGCUUUAGAUCAUGUACAUAUCGCCCGUCGCUUUCAU